rnacentral:rRNA from 1 species
UGGGGAAUAUUGCGCAAUGGGGGAAACCCUGACGCAGCGACGCCGCGUGGGUGAUGAAGGCCUUCGGGUUGUAAAGCCCUGUCGGCUGGGAAAAAGGUAGUUGCGCUAAUACCGCAAUUGCUUGAUGGUACCAGCAAAGGAAGCACCGGCUAACUCUGUGCCAGCAGCCGCGGUAAUACAGAGGGUGCAAGCGUUGUUCGGAAUUACUGGGCGUAAAGGGCGUGUAGGCGGCUUAGCAAGUCAGAUGUGAAAUCCCGGGGCUUAACUUCGGAAGUGCAUUUGAAACUGCUAGGCUAGAGUGAGGUAGAGGUUGGUGGAAUUCCCAGUGUAGAGGUGAAAUUCGUAGAUAUUGGGAGGAACACCGGUGGCGAAGGCGGCCAACUGGGCCUUAACUGACGCU